UACGGAGGGAGCGAGCGAUAUCCGGAAUCACUGGGUUUAAAGGGUGCGUAGGCGGCUCGGUAAGUCAGUUGUGAAAGCCCCUUGCUUAACGAGGGAGGUGCGAUUGAUACUGUCGAGCUUGAAUCGGGAUGAGGCAGGCGGAAUGUGGCAUGAAGCGGUGAAAUGCAAAGAUAUGCCAUAGAACAACGAUUGCGAAGGCAGCCUGCUGGGCCUGUAUUGACGCUGAGGCACGAAAGCGUGGGGAGCAAACAGG
rnacentral:rRNA from 1 species